GGGGAUAUAGCUCAGUUGGUAGAGUGCUUGCUUAGCAUGCACAAGACCCUGGGUUCAAACCCCAGCACCACUG
rnacentral:tRNA from 1 species